rnacentral:tRNA from 1 species
GCCUCUUUCGAUCGGUUGGCUGGAGCACGUGAUUUGCAAUCUUGGGGUCGUUGGUUCAAAUCCGACAAGAGGCU